UACAGAGGGUGCAAGCGUUAAUCGGAAUUACUGGGCGUAAAGCGUGCGUAGACGGUUACAUAAGUCGGGUGUGAAAGCCCUGGGCUCAACCUGGGAAUUGCAUUCGAGACUGCGUAGCUAGGGUGCGGAAGAGGGAAGCGGAAUUUCCGGUGUAGCGGUGAAAUGCGUAGAUAUCGGAAGGAACACCAGUGGCGAAAGCGGCUUCCUGGUCCAGCACCGACGUUCAGGCACGAAAGCGUGGGGAGCAAACAGG
rnacentral:rRNA from 1 species